GAUGAACGCUGGCGGCGUGCCUAAUACAUGCAAGUCGAGCGAACGGACGAGAAGCUUUCUUUUCUGAUGUUAGCGGCGGACGGGUGAGUAACACGUGGAUAACCUACCUAUAAGACUGGGAUAACUUCGGGAAACCGGAGCUAAUACCGGAUAAUAUUUUGAACCGCAUGGUUCAAAAGUGAAAGACGGUCUUGCUGUCACUUAUAGAUGGAUCCGCGCUGCAUUAGCUAGUUGGUAAGGUAACGGCUUACCAAGGCAACGAUGCAUAGCCGACCUGAGAGGGUGAUCGGCCACACUGGAACUGAGACACGGUCCAGACUCCUACGGGAGGCAGCAGUAGGGAAUCUUCCGCAAUGGGCGAAAGCCUGACGGAGCAACGCCGCGUGAGUGAUGAAGGUCUUCGGAUCGUAAAACUCUGUUGUUAGGGAAGAACAUAUGUGUAAGUAACUGUGCACAUCUUGACGGUACCUAAUCAGAAAGCCACGGCUAACUACGUG
rnacentral:rRNA from 1 species